GACCUGUGUUUGAAUCCCAUCUCAGACACUUAAUAGCUGGCAUCACCAGAAAGGACUCAAGGACAUCUUCUCCAACUUAUGGACAAAAGCCAUCCCUCCCAGCAUAUAGCCUGUGCUUGAAGACCCCUCAAGGUGACAUCCUCGGCCACUUUGGGAGAGUGCUGUCAGGAAGAUGUUCCUGCCAAGCAGCUGUAAUCUGCCUCUUUGUUCUUUUUACUCAGUGCUCCUGGUUCUGCUCACCACAGGCCAACGAAAUGACUGCCACCAUCACUCCUAUUGAAAUGACCACAGCCCUCCCAGGCUGUCAACAAUUAAUCAGGGAGAAGAGAAAAAAAGACUCAGAUACCCAGGAAUGGAAGAGACAGCUUGCUGUCACGCAGUGUGCUGCAUUUAUCGUCAGGAAGACCCCAGUUUAAAUCCUGCCUCAGACAUUUGUCUAGCUGUGUGAUGCUGGGCAAGUCACAACCUCUCCGAUCUUCAGAAUCUCUAAGACUAGAGUGGGGGAACACAACUUUUGUGUGAAGUUUGGUGAACAUUCAAUCAAAGGGCCACACUUGAGGACCUAGAGGGCCACAUGUGGCCUCGAGGGUGCAGG